AUUGAACGCUGGCGGCAGGCCUAACACAUGCAAGUCGAGCGAGCGGCGGACGGGUGAGUAAUGUCUGGGAAACUGCCUGAUGGAGGGGGAUAACUACUGGAAACGGUAGCUAAUACCGCAUACCAUCAGAUGUGCCCAGAUGGGAUUAGCUAGUAGUGGGGGUAACGGCUCACCUGGGCGACGAUCCCUAGCUGGUCUGAGAGGAUGACCAGCAACACGGAAGCUGAGACACGGUCCAGAUGACUACGGGAGGCAGCAGGGGGGAAGAUUGCACAAUGGGCGUAAGCCUGAUGCAGCCAUGCCGCGUGUGUGAAGUAGGCCUUCGGGUUGUAAAGCACUUUCAGCGGGGAGGCGUUACCCGCAGAAGAAGCACCGGCUAACUCCGUGCCAGCAGCCGCGGUAAUUC
rnacentral:rRNA from 1 species